GCAGUGCGAGCAUCCUUAAUCCCAGCAUGGUGUCAGCAGAGACAGCUUCUCUCGGGCUCAGCUGGGCAGCCACUCUGGCUAAACAGCUGGGCUCCAGGACCUCUGAAAGACCUUGCCCUGCAGAAGGUGGAGCUUCAGGAUCCAUUAGCAGUGUGUUUCCUCAACUCUCCCUGAGAACCCAGAAGAGGACGAAGCAACCUGCUCUUCAUGUGACCUUUGCUCCCCCCUUCCUUUGUCUCUUCUCCAUAUCUACCCUUUAGAGCCGGAAAUGAGACAUAAUUCCUUUUAAGCACAUAAAUAUUUAUGGUCCCGUGCCCAGAACAUCAUGAUAAUAAAACGUAAGAGCGGUUUCUAAAAUGCCAACGACUUUAAUUUGAGGUUGACAAUUAGGACGUCAAAACACAGAGGCUCUGAAUACCUAAGCCUGCAAGCUGACCUCAAACGAACCGUCUCCCAGCGCAAAUGCCCCAUUCACGCUUUGUGAGCAGCAAAGGACUCGACGGGCCACAGAGCUACCAGUCAUUCUCCCGGACGCCACGUUUUCUUAUCGCCGGGGCCCUACAGCAUAAUAAUUGAAUGAUAAACAGCCUUCGUGUGGCGGAAAAAGAAUCAGACUCCUUUUGGCUUGUUUAUAAAAUGAGCUCUCCUCCCCCUCCAGCAGCGGCAGACACACAGACACAAAGUGUGCUCUCAGGAUAGAAGGUGAAUGAAUGUUCCCUUCUGGAGUGGGGACAUUUGAGCCAGUUGAGUCAAUUUUGAAUGGCCAGUUGAUCUUCAAAAGGCGGUGGGGGUGUCAAAAUGGCUUUGACCCAGGAUUCACAUUUCUUUCUUGAAGCUUAACCAACUCAAAAUUCUAACAUUACCGUGUUUUUUUAAAAAAUUAAUAAAAAAAACCCCUUUUGUUCUUAGCCACAAA